ACCUCGAUAGUUUAAUGGCUCAGGACGCUCGUAUGAAAUACAAGAGUUCCGGGUUCAAGUCUUGGCCAAGGUA
rnacentral:tRNA from 1 species